rnacentral:rRNA from 1 species
GAGGGACGACGGCCUUCGGGUUGUAAACCUCUUUUAGUAGGGAAGAAGCGAAAGUGACGGUACCUGCAGAAAAAGCGCCGGCUAACUACGUGCCAGCAGCCGCGGUAAUACGUAGGGCGCGAGCGUUAUCCGGAAUUAUUGGGCGUAAAGAGCUCGUAGGCGGUUUGUCGCGUCUGCUGUGAAAACUGGAGGCUCAACCUCCAGCCUGCAGUGGGUACGGGCAGACUCGAGUGCGGUAGGGGAGAUUGGAAUUCCUGGUGUAGCGGUGGAAUGCGCAGAUAUCAGGAGGAACACCGAUGGCGAAGGCAGAUCUCUGGGCCGUAACUGACGCUGAGGAGCGAAAGCAUGGGGAGCGAACAGGAUUAGAUACCCUGGUAGUCCAUGCCGUAAACGUUGGGAACUAGAUGUAGGGACCAUUCCACGGUUUCUGUGUCGCAGCUAACGCAUUAAGUUCCCCGCCUGGGGAGUACGGCCGCAAGGCUA